rnacentral:rRNA from 1 species
UACAGAGGUCUCAAGCGUUGUUCGGAUUCAUUGGGCGUAAAGGGUGCGUAGGCGGCGCGGUAAGUCGGGUGUGAAAUCUCGGAGCUUAACUCCGAAACUGCAUUCGAUACUGCCGUGCUUGAGGACUGGAGAGGAGACUGGAAUUCACGGUGUAGCAGUGAAAUGCGUAGAUAUCGGGAGGAACACCAAUUGCGAAGGCAGCUCGCUGGGACGUCACUGACGCUGAGACGCGAAAGCGUGGGGAGCAAACAGGG